rnacentral:lncRNA from 1 species
GGAGACUGUUCUACACUGUGUUCCUCCAUGAACCUUCUAGGCUGGACCCAGGCAGAGGUGCUGAAGUUCCCCAGGAGGCUCCACCCCCUCCACCCAGUACUGAAUCGCCCCAGGAGGCUCCGCCCUCUUCACCCGGUGCUGAAGCUUCCCAGGAGGCUCCAAGCUGUCUUAAAAUGCUGACGGAGCAAAACUGAGGCAGGUGUGGACUCAGCCCUUUGCUUGCCAAGCCUCAACAUCUGUCUCUGUGGGAUGGAACCUGCACUCCUUGCUUCUCCUUCAGAGUAGAGCUGUGAGCUCUCACAAUGGUGAGAAAAGAAAAAUGCUACAGCACCUGUGUGCUGUUGUCCAAGUGUGAGGUUCAGUUGGAAGUAUCGGGCCCUGGGGAGGGGCACAGUGUGGAGGAUCAACAGGUGUAGGGACUGGAGGACACGAGCCAGAUUCGGGCAGUGUCAUACACUGGAGAGGGUCCUGGGUAGGUAGAAGUCAGCACAGGGAACUAGGAGUAUUC